rnacentral:rRNA from 1 species
AGUGAACGCUGGCGGUAGGCCUAACACAUGCAAGUCGAACGGCAGCACAGUACGAGCUUGCUCUUACGGGUGGCGAGUGGCGGGUGGGUGAGGAAUACAUCGGUAUCUACUUUUUCGUGGGGGAUAACGUGGGGGAACUUACGCUAAUACUGCAUACGAACUACGGGUGAAAGCAGGGGAUCUUCGGACCUCGCGCGAUUGAAUGACGCUAUGUCGGAUUAGCUAGUUGGCGGGGUAAAGGCCCACCGAGGCGAAGAUCGGUAGCUGGUCUGAGAGGAUGAUCAGUAAAAAGGGAACGGAUAAAAGGUCCAGACGACUACGGGAGGCAGCAGUGGGGAAGAUUGGACAAGGGGAGAAAGCGUGAUCCAGCCAUGCUGAGUGUGUGAAGAAGGUCUUCGGAUUGUAAAGAACUUUAAGUUGGCAGAAAGGGAAGUAAGUUAAUACCUUGCUGCUUUGACGUGAGCAACAGAAUAAGCACGGGCUAACUUCGUG